GCGAGGCUUUAUUAGAAGAGAACAAAGUGCGGGCAAUGUUAAUUGUAAAAUCCUCGUGCUAAAGAAAAGUUUACUUGGCUAUUAUAAAGAUAGACAUAUUGGAAACGAAAUUAUCUUGUGAUGUGGGAGGUGAGUGUUCGACGAUGAAUGCAGCGUCCGGGAUACGAGUCUUUUCGGUGCCUUGAUGGGAAAUCGCAGAUUCCUUUAAGAUGUCUGAUACACAGCAGUGUCGGGAAGGAUUGCAAAAUGCCGGCAGCUUGAACCCACUGAAAGGAUCAACCCUUUGUGGUUUCUCCCGUCCGCGAUGCUGUUACGAACGCGUACACAAAGCAUCUUCGGUGGACGAAUGAAAACUGACCCCUAGUUCAGUCGUCAAAGAUCGGCGAAAACAGUGUUAGCUUACGCACGACAUCAAUGUUACAAUCUAAUAAAGGUUACCUAGAAC